GCGCUCGCUUCAGCAGCACAUAAACUAAAACUGGAAUGACACAGAGAAAACUAGCAUCGCCCCCGUGCAAGGAUAACACGCAAAUUCAUGAAACAUUCCGUAUUUUU